rnacentral:rRNA from 1 species
AUUGAACGCUGGCGGAAUGCUUUACACAUGCAAGUCGAACGGUAACAGGUCUUCGGAUGCUGACGAGUGGCGAACGGGUGAGUAAUAUAUCGGAACGUGCCCAGUCGUGGGGGAUAACGUAGCGAAAGUUACGCUAAUACCGCAUACGAUCUAUGGAUGAAAGCGGGGGAUCGCGAGACCUCGCGCGAUUGGAGCGGCCGAUAUCAGAUUAGGUAGUUGGUGGGGUAAAGGCUCACCAAGCCAACGAUCUGUAGCUGGUCUGAGAGGACGACCAGCCACACUGGAACUGAGACACGGUCCAGACUCCUACGGGAGGCGGCAGUGGGGAAUUUUGGACAAUGGACGCAAGUCUGAUUCAGCCAUUCCGCGUGCAGGAUGAAGGCCCUCGGGUUGUAAACUGCUUUUGUACGGAACGAAAAGGUCUCUCCUAAUACGAGGGGCUCAUGACGGUACCGUAAGAAUAAGCACCGGCUAACUACGUGCCAGCCGCCGCCGUAAAAC